AACUUCCCCUCGCCUAUCACCUGUGCCAUGACGCUCCCUCCACGCAUUGCUCCUGCCCUCGCGAGCCCUCGCCUUCGGCAUCACGCCGCCGCCAGCCACCGCCCACAGCCUAGCGCCGCCAUUGCGAGACCUCAUCUCAUCCUCGUACCACGGUCGCCAGCCCCGUCGGCACCGCCUGCACUGUCACCUUCUGAUCGUGCCUCCGUCGCCAGAUCCCUCGCACCGUACGCGUCGGCUACCGAAGCUGCUCCGCCGCCCCGACGCCGCUCGGCGGGCCACCGCCCCGAUGCGCCGCCGCAGGAUCUACCGCCACAUCCGUCGCCUCCCCACGACAGAACGCGUUGCUGCCUCCGCUCCACGUCAUCUUGCACGCUAGAGAUCUCACCCUGUCGUCCAUGGAGGGAAGCCACGCCAUUGAGCAGGGGCUAGGUGAAGGACCCGAUGAACACGACGCCUGCUGGAGAAGCCGUUGGUGUCUUGUUGCCGAUUGGACCCCACCUCUUGUUCGUGGUGCAGAUCCGGGUCACAAGUUCAAAAAAUAGAGUGUAACCAAGGAGCAUAUUUAACCUUUCCAAAGAAUACAAGGCUGAGUUACUAUUAAUUGUUUUCAUUUUUCAAGGAUUUUAGGCAUACAUCAAGUUAUAGUGGCCCUUGAACAAAUUGUGGCUACUGAAAACUCAAGUGCUCCUGCUGAUCUGAACAACUCUGUUGUUGAAGUGGAGAGACCAAUGUAAUUUGCGAAGACAGGUCUGUAUGUGUGCUAUCAUCUGUACUGCAUAAUAGCCAUCUAUUCGCUAUCACAGGUCUGUAUGUGUGUUAAUAUGUGUUAUAGUCAAAAUGAAGAAUCUUCUUUUAUUUUGACUCUAUGCCAUUAUUAUUUUUCUGACUUUCCUUCAUUGUUAACCUCCACUUUCUGAUCCCACUACAUCUGUUUUAAAUUCUCGUGGGAUACAUAUUUUUAAUUCAGUCUACAGUGAAGUAUACUCUAGGGGAAACAUAAUCAUCUGCUAUAGGUAAAUAUAGAGUUUGAUGAGUAACUACAAAUCAAACAACUAACAACAUGAGCUGAUCUAUGAUAGCAAAGGAAAUUCAGAGAUCUCUUAGUUUCUGUUAGUAGAUAUCAACUCAGGUUGAUGUUGCGAUGAUCUUUUUCCUUCAUGUGUUGAUGCUGCCUAGAAUAUUAUCUUUGUGAUAGCUUUUUUGGUAACUUGUCAAUCGUGCACAAUUUUCUUGUGUAGAUAUUUUCCUUCCUUUGUUAUUAUCUAUGCUUUCUUUGCUUUGCCCAGUUGAUGUGGACACCAGUUUAUUUUCCUACAUCGCCUCCCGUAGUUCUAACUUCUGAUAGAAGAAAAUUGUUACCUGCUCAACGUCUCUCAUCCCCAGGCAUCACGCCGACUAGCAUGACAGAGCCAUGUUGGUAAAUAAUGGAUAACCAAAUUUAAGCUUCCACACCUUUUGGCUGAGAACUGAAGCUACUCUUUUGCCUGUCAGACAAUUAAUCUACAAACUGCUUAUUAUAAGGGUUCAAGAUGUAUUCUUGCCAACAAUUCAAAGUGUGAAGCUAAAAAGAAGGGGAUGGGAAAGACACUCUGAGAACGUCUUCCUAAAGCAUAAGAGGAAAUCAUAUCCUGGGCUACCCAUGAUGAGUUGGGCACCAUCACGGCGGCAUGGCUUGAUCCUAGAGGAUUGUAUGUUGUCUUUAUGCUUAUCAUUACAUGUAAUUGGCCACAUACAAAGCAUAUAUUUGUCGUGCAUGGUAGGAUUAUAUGAAGAUAGAUUUGUGAGACAAUGGCAUUCUUGUGUCAUUUGGACCUGCUUGAAGCUGCAUGGCGAAGUGGGUAGGUCCGCUGCAGUGUACAUAGCAUCGCUUUCCGUGCACUAUAUUUGGUUCCCGUUGCAACGCACGGACAAUUACCUAGUAUAUAUGAUGCAUUUUUCAUACUCCCCGAA